UCCCUGCGAAGGAGAGUUACGUUCCGCUAACAUCGCAAGAGAAGAUAAAGUGAGGCUUCCUGCUUCUUUCUUUGUUGUCAGUGUGACCCAUCCCAGUUACGUAGCAUCACGCAGAGAGGAACCAGUGCGAAAGCAGGCUUGCCUGGCACCCUGAUUUCCAGCCAGAGCAGAGGAAGACUGCACCGAAGGCAGGCACUGCAGACAGCUGCAUACCUAGCCGCACGAUUAUGUAGGAAAAUAAGAAGAAGCCAUCAGAUGACCGGAGUCAGACUGUCAUUCUCUCUCUGGAAUGCACUGAGCAAUCGUCCACUGAUGGCUGGUCGUGUCCCUGCUAGUCGGCAGCUGUCCCUGCAUCCAGAGAGGACUGGCAUUGAAUUAGAUGAGGGAGACAACUGAAGCUCAGAAAGGCCGAGCUCUGCUUACAGCAGCAUAGCUGAAGGUGCACUCGCAGAAAGUGAAAUCAGCUGGGACAACAGGAGCCCUCGAAAGAGCCAGACUGUGGCCCAGGAGACAUCAGGCUUCCAGUCCCUAAAGCCUGCAGGAUCUGUGAACCUCAGCAGAGUCCUGGCCUGCCACUGCCAUCGCAUACCCUGUACCCCCUUCCGCCUUCUUCCCUGCUGGCAGAUGCUCCGUCUGGUUCAACCCAAGCAACGGGCUCAAUUUCAGCAGGCCGUCUCCCAGACUCCCUUGCAGGUGAACACACUUUGAUUCUCAGUACCCUGGGGUCCUGUCCGCAGUCACAAGGAGCCGGUGGUAGUAAGACACAAGGCUGAAGACGGCUUCUGCAGCUACAGGAAGGAGACCGAUAAAGGGCCUCCAAUUCCCCCUUGAACUUGGAGUGGGUCACUCUGCCCUCCCCCGCAUGGCUGGGAUCUCAGUAAAAAUGGCUUUUCCCCAGUCAUACCUGUCACGCGUCGAAGUGGAAAACACCUUGCGGAUUUCUUGUGCCACCCCGAAAUGGGACAACACCGGCACGGACAUUUCCCUGAUAUCU